rnacentral:tRNA from 1 species
GAGGGUAUAGCUCAAGUGGUAGAGUGCAUGCUUUAGCAUGCCCGAGGUCUUGGGUUCAAUCCCCAGUACCUCCU